UCUUUAAACAAACGUUACAAGGU
rnacentral:snRNA from 1 species